UCUAGAGUUCGAAUCCUGGGGAAGGCAAAAAUCCACUGGCUAAGGGUGGGAAGAUCUAGUGAGUAACGGCACGGCCGAGGGGCCGCCUUGGGGCGUCCGAGAGGCCAGGUCGUUACAUAUAUAGAGUAUAUUAGUUCAAUAAAGUUGUAGUUGCUCUUUGGCUACGACAUAAGAGAUUGUGAAUCAUCUUCAAAAAGCAUACUUUUAUUAUUGAUUAAAUAGGCAUUAGGAUUUGAUUAUCUAUUUAAUUUUUUUUCAAAUGACAAACUAAAGGAAUCUAGUAAUAUGUAUUUCUCAAGGAUAUAAAAAACUAACCCUAUUAUUCUCAAAUGGAGUACAAAUAGACAAUAAAUUUUGAAGAAUUCAAUAUACUUUCAAUCUACACAAAAAGUAAAGCUUAUAGCUGCAAAUUCACAGUAGGAAAACUGAGCACAACUCCCAGUAAAUGAUAUGUAACAGAAUAGCAUAUCAAAGAGAGUAGUCCAAAAGCGAAUGCAAUUAUAACAUUAUUCAUGCAAGAGUUAGGUGAUUAAUUAUUACAGUUACUAUAAGUUUUAACACAUCUUAUUACAUAAAAUUUCAUUAACUGCAAAAUUGAUUUUAUUUUAGAUUUCAGAAAAAAUUGUAACAAUCCCUAUUGCUAUUAUCAAAGAGCUAGACUGAUGCUAAUAAAAUUAUGUGUUCUGAUACUCAGCUCUAGUUAAUUUCCUUAGAUAUGCAAACAAAUCUUAUAGAAAGCUAAUGCACAUCUGCAAGGGAUGUUAAUUAAAUCGAGCAGGAACUAAACCAAAUAGAAUGGGCCAUCCUUACAGGCAUCUUUUUUGUUUUAUUUCAUUUUCGAUUUGUGUUUUCUUAUUCUCUUUUGUGUUUUCUUAUUGUCAGUUCUUAUUUUGGUACCUGUGAUUGUACUUUAUGAUCUGACUAUAUAAAACUAUUUACCCAUGAAGCACAUCCCAUGGAAGAAAGCUAAGCAGUAUUUAGCAUGUAAAGUCAUCAUUUGUUUCUCUUUCCCUAGGGAUAUUGAAGUUGAAUCUAAAAAGCACUUUAAUAUAAUUUGGCUUGCUUUCGAAUAUGAAAUAGACUAAUUGACUUAAAAUAACCAUUUUCCCAGUAUAUUUAGAACUUUGAGAAUACAACUGAACUUGCUUCUGGUGGUUACUAAUUUUGGUUCAUUGGCAUGGAACAUGCAGGUGGGACUCUCAGGGACCAUUCAAACCAUUGCAUUUGAUGAAUCCUACUCAUAUCAUUCAUUUGCUCCACACUUUGUCGUCAUUUCAGGAAAGAUUCAUUUUCUGUUAGGCCAUUUGAUGUGGUGGAGGCAUCCCCUUUGAGGCAUUACAUCCAUUGACAUCGUCUAUUUAAUACCAUUGUAUAACAGCAGGUACAUUCUCUUUCAUUGAUUCCUUGAUAGAUUUUCUUUCAUGAUGUAAAUUUAAAGUCAUUGAUGUUACUGUAAAUUCUUCGUAGUCAUACUAUAAAUAAAUUUCUCUCUUUCUUUUUCACUUAAAAUUAUAUCUAAGUGAUCCUUAAUAGAAGAAUUUGAAAUCAUAGUAGGAUGGGUGUUCAUGACUUUCUUCCGUGUACUACCACCAUGCCAUAUAAGAUGCUUCAUAUGACUGAAUGAACUUUACUUACAUUCAUUCAUACAGAAUGUCUCUCUUUCAGUAUGCAGUUUGUUAAUUUCUUGUGCUAUUGAUCAAUCGAAAACAAUGUUCAUUUCUUGGGAUGAUUUCUUGAGUAAGAAGCAUUUAGAGAUUGCUUACUUGGUGACGAACUACAGUCUACCCUAUUGAUACUAUGAAGUAUGAACUAUUGCUUACUAUGCAGUGCACACCCUCUCUCUUGGGAGGAUUAGCUUCCUAUUAUUUGGCAUGUAGGACAACUUCUUUCUCCAUAUGCAAGGAUUUUCUAAAUGCUGUGUCGAUAAGAGAACUCACUCAUUGAUUUAUUAAGCUCAACCAUUAGACCAACAUACUUAAGCCUAAGAUUGUUGUAGUCUACUCAUUUAAGCUUAUAUAGCUUCUUUAUUAGCCUAUAACUCACUAUAUAAGACUAAAUUAGGAUGUUGUAUACUAAUUUAUUGCUUUUGUUUUAUAAUUUUUGAGUUUGUGGAUAUAACAAGAUGAAGCUGAUUGUAUACUCAAAGAUAAUUCCUUGUUGGCAUUGUUGUUGAUACUUGAUAAUGAAUCAAAGUAGUGUGAGGGGAGUUUCUUGUUCUCAGUUCUCAAGAGAGGUAAUACAAUUAGUGAAAAAGAUACUUCGGUUCAUGUAAAGAUAUUGCACUUUAUUGUCAUUAGUUAUAUAAACCAUUAUGUAUCCAUGUGGGACUCAUGUGCUUUUUUACUUCUUUUUUUUUGGGUUCAAAUUUAGCAUUUUCCCCCUUAUUCUUUAAAGUGAUGUUGAUUAAACUGUUGAUGAAGAUGAGAAAUAGUUCUAGGUUGCCUUAGUUUUAAUGAAUUGGCAGAACUCUCCAUUUGUGUGGCAGAGGAAUUGGUGAAAGAGAAGAAGAAGUUUGAUGCUGUGAUUUCUCUAGGGUAUACUUCUACUGGAAGAGGUUAUUUGAAUAUGUUCUUGAGCUAUACAAUAAUCUUCUUCAUCCAAUAAAAUGGCGUUUCAGCAUUAGCCUAAACUUAUCCCUCCAUAUGUUGAAGAAUAUAUGCAUUUUUUUUAACUGUAAAUCUUGCCACAGGAUUAUUUAUAAUUCAGUUUGCACCACAUCUUGUUCCAUUUCUCAAGUGCAAUUUAUCUCUUGUUUAGCUUUGACAUAUCCUUUGUUACACAUUUCAGAUUUUUUGGUGUCUAUAAAUAUUAUCAAAGGCUAAUUUGCAAAUCAGUGUGCAGCAUCUUCUAUGUCUUUUUUACAUGGACUAGCUCAUUUGCAAAUUAGCUUCCUUUGUGAAUAUCACAAAUUUAUUACAAUUAGCUUUGGGACACUCUUAAGUUGAACUGUUAAGCUUUUAAAAAGGGCAGCUCGGUGCACGAAUCUCCCGCCAUACGGGGUCCCGGGUAAGGAUCCAUUGUACGCAGCCUUACCAUGUUUUUUGCAAGAGGCUAUUUCCAGGAUUUGAACCUGUGAUCUUUUGGUCACAUGAUAACAACUUUAUCAUUGCGCCAAGACUCCCCUUCAACUGUUAAACUUCUAGAUCUAGAAAAAUAUUUUUUUUUGUUCCUAAAUCUUGUUGCAAGUUGAUUUUGCAAUUUACUCUGUGACCUCUAUAAUGCCAUUCAAUUCCAUUUUCAUAGGGCAAGCUUUGGGACACAGCAAACUUAUUUUCAAGUGUCUAACACUGUAUAUUAUAGCCUUGAAUCUUGCAAUGUCAGCUUAUUUCCAAGUGUCUAAAAAUGUAUAUUUUAGUCUUGAAUCUUGCAAUACUUUCUAUGUCAGUUUAUUUUUAAGUGUCUAAAAAUGUACAUUUUAGUCUUGAAUCUUGUAAUACUUUCUGUCAUCAUAAUCAUUUUGCACUUGCACCCUAAAAAUUUUACCAUUUAGGUGUCAAAAAAUGUAGUUUUGGAGCCUAAAAUCAUGCGCAAGAUCUUUUGAAGGGAAAAAUCAUAGUUAUAGGUGUUAUGAGAACAAUAAGAUUUUGAAUGUCUUUAGGUAAAAAAACUGAAAUUUCAGGAGCACAUUUUGUUAAAUGAGAUAAGUUGGUAAAAUGAUCAUUUGUGUUAAAAUGAUCAUUUCUGAUACAAUGAUUGUUUUCUGGUAAAAUUUUGAAGAUGCUUUUUGGUAGAAUAUUCUUUUUCUGAUACUUAGCAUCUAUGGAAGAAAUAAGAGACGGUUACAGGGCAUUGCAACUUUCAAAUAUUUGAUUCAAACACAUGGUUUUCACUUCAGGUAAUCGAGCACGUUGCAGAUCCCGCCGACUUCUACAAAUCCAGUACUGACAGUUCCAAGAGGAGCCACUAUUAUCUCUACCAUCAACCGCUCCGCUCUAUGAGAUCAUAUGCCACAGCAAUUAUUGCUGCAGAAUACCUUCUUAACCGGGAACGACAUUCCUUGCUUUUCUAAGAUUCCUCAAUCGAAUUAGAUCAUAGUUUUCGACUACAGGUUAGCAAGGUAUUCCAUUUGCAAUUUGCUGAUCCUGAUACUUUAUAUACUUGUUCUUGUUUUGAUCGUCUAAUUCACA